GCCUGGGUGGCUCAGUAGGUUGAGCUUCUGACUUCAGCUUAGGUCGUGGUCUCAUGGCUCAUGGGUUCGAGCCCCGUGUCGGGCU
rfam:Felis catus isolate Cinnamon breed Abyssinian chromosome B2, whole genome shotgun sequence.